GUCUCCUCCUAAAGAGUAACGGAGGAGCACGAAGGUUGGCUAAUCCUGGUCGGACAUCAGGAGGUUAGUGCAAUGGCAUAAGCCAGCUUGACUGCGAGCGUGACGGCGCGAGCAGGUGCGAAAGCAGGUCAUAGUGAUCCGGUGGUUCUGAAUGGAAGGGCCAUCGCUCAACGGAUAAAAGGUACUCCGGGGAUAACAGGCUGAUACCGCCCAAGAGUUCAUAUCGACGGCGGUGUUUGGCACCUCGAUGUCGGCUCAUCACAUCCUGGGGCUGAAGUAGGUCCCAAGGGUAUGGCUGUUCGCCAUUUAAAGUGGUACGCGAGCUGGGUUUAGAACGUCGUGAGACAGUUCGGUCCCUAUCUGCCGUGGGCGCUGGAGAACUGAGGGGGGCUGCUCCUAGUACGAGAGGACCGGAGUGGACGCAUCACUGGUGUUCGGGUUGUCAUGCCAAUGGCACUGCCCGGUAGCUAAAUGCGGAAGAGAUAAGUGCUGAAAGCAUCUAAGCACGAAACUUGCCCCGAGAUGAGUUCUCCCUGACCCUUUAAGGGUCCUGAAGGAACGUUGAAGACGACGACGUUGAUAGGCCGGGUGUGUAAGCGCAGCGAUGCGUUGAGCUAACCGGUACUAAUGAACCGUGAGGCUUAACCUUACAACGCCGAAG
rnacentral:rRNA from 1 species